GCCUGAUGGGCACAUAUUUAGAAAAGUGUCUAAAAAUUCUUCUUGGAAAGAAAAAACUGAGACAAUAGAAAAACACACACCUGUAAAUUUCUCAUAUCCUUCUGUCACCUCUUGCAUCCUUACAUGACCCUGCUGUGAUGUUACAGACUCCCUUCUGCUCACAACGCAGAAACUGGACUUUCCCUGGGCUGAAUUACUGUACAGAAAAAUCCAACACAAUGUGGAGAUUUUUCUUUUGGUGCUCUGCCUGCUAGCAUACAUUAACCUGGUAUAAUAAAAGAUCUACUGAGCUGUAUCCAGCAAUGACUGGUUUCUAAAUAUUGAUCUUUUGCACCAGGGCAACUCUUACCUUCUGCACAGCAAAGCAGCUGAGCAGAUUGCCCUCUGCCAGUGAGGUUUGUUUGAAUUAACCAGCUAACAGGACAAAGAGAUGUGUCCUACUCAUCACGAUCAUGUGCAUGGCGAGAGGCGGCUUUUCUGUACUUAAAGCAUUUUCUGACCCAUCCAACAAAUCAGUAGUGCUUCCUAUCUAUUUAUGGACCCUUUGAUAAAUCAUGUGGGAGAGUAAAUGAAAGAUAGAAGGUGGCAUUCUCAAAAAAAGCGGUAGUAGCUCUUCUGCAGUUUACAGCCUACACAAUGCCUUACAAAAUAUCUGAACAUUAAACAGAAGGUUGGGUGGGGUUUUUUCCCCCCUGAAGAUGCUAAUUAUCUUACAGAGCAGAGCAUCCCUUCCAAAGGAAGAAUUGGGGAGAGGAGGGCGAGAGAAGGAAAUAAAUUCCUGCUCAACACCCUGUGAUUAUUUUCUCUGCAUGAUUGGUUCUUUGCCCUGCUCUUCUCUCACACCCUUUUUGGACCGACUUUUCUGGGCAGGGGAACUCUGAGGGUCUUUCUUGCCAGGCCUGUGGUGUGUAGAGCAAAGGAUCUGAAUUGUGAUCGACACUUCAUUGUUACUGUAUGUGAAUAACUGAAAACAAAGCUUUGAAAAGUGAAGGUGUCUGUGUUUUGGAGGUAUUAAACACUCCCUAGCUGCCAGUGA